UGAGGAAUAUUGCGCAAUGGGCGAAAGCCUGACGCAGCGACGCCGCGUGAAGGAUGAAGGUCUUAGGAUUGUAAACUUCUGUUAAAUGGGAAGAAAGACCUACUAGUAAUAUGAGUAGGGGAUGACGUUACCAUUAAAGAAAGCACCGGCUAACUUCGUGCCAGCAGCCGCGGUAAUACGAAGGGUGCGAGCGUUAUUCGGAAUAACUGGGCGUAAAGGGUGCGUAGACGGUUUAUUAAGUCUGUUGUUAAAGACUUCGGCUCAACCGGGGAACAGCAGCGGAAACUGAUAAACUUGAGGGUGGAAGAGAGAAGUGGAAUUCUCGGAGUAGCGGUAAAAUGCGUAGAUCUCGAGAGGAACACCGAUGGCGAAGGCAGCUUCUUGG
rnacentral:rRNA from 1 species